rnacentral:rRNA from 1 species
GGAUUAGGCAUGCAAGUCGCACGGCAAACCAAUUUUCGGAUUGGGAGUAAGUGGCGAAAGGGUGAGUAAUGCGUGGACAACCUGCCCUCGAGCCGGGGAUAGCGGUCCGAAAGGUCCGGUAAUACCCGAUGACGCCACGCGGUUUUUCCGCGUGGUUAAAGGUGGCCUCUUCUAAGCUACCACUCGUGGAGGGGUUCACGUCCUAUCAGUUCGUUGGUAGGGUAACGGCCUACCAAGACUACGACGGGUAGCGGGCCUGAGAGGGUGGCCCGCCACACUGGGACUGAGACACUGCCCAGACUCCUACGGGAGGCUGCAGUCGAGAAUCAUUCGCAAUGCCCGAAAGG